GUGAUUAAAAAUGAAAACUUGGAGGCACAUAUUCCAUCUGAUCUUGGAAGCUAAGCAGGGUUAGGCCUGGUUUGGUCUUGGAUGGGAGACAGCCAAUGAAUCCCAGGCUCUAUUUCCA
rnacentral:rRNA from 11 species